GGCAUGGCCCGCUGGCUCCCGCCGCGCUCAGCAGCCUCCUGACUGCUCUGCCCAAACGCGGGAGCGCAGAAACCGGUUCCUUCUGUCACCCGGUCUCCAUGGUUAUUUGGCACAUGGUCGUCUUUUUGGAGUUCUUUGCAAAAGCUGCGCCCAGCUGAUCUGCCCGUAUCUGCAGCAGUGUCCCUCCCACAGAGUUCCCCGGCCUGGCUGAUGCACCGGCAAGCCACAUCUGACAGAACCAGGUUACAAGACCAGCCCCAGUGACAUCUACCAGGGCUUUGCCAGCCCUUCCCCUCAUUCAUAAGGUA